UUAAGCGGAGGAAAAGAAACUAACAAGGAUUCCCCUAGUAGCGGCGAGCGAAGCGGGAAGAGCUCAAAUUUAUAAUCUGGCACCUUCGGUGUCCGAGUUGUAAUCUCUAGAAAUGUUUUCCGCGUUGGACCGCACACAAGUCUGUUGGAAUACAGCGGCAUAGUGGUGAGACCCCCGUAUAUGGUGCGGACGCCCAGCGCUUUGUGAUACAUUUUCGAAGAGUCGAGUUGUUUGGGAAUGCAGCUCAAAUUGGGUGGUAAAUUCCAUCUAAAGCUAAAUAUUGGCGAGAGACCGAUAGCGAACAAGUACCGUGAGGGAAAGAUGAAAAGCACUUUGGAAAGAGAGUUAACAGUACGUGAAAUUGUUGGAAGGGAAACGCUUGAAGUCAGACUUGCUUGCCGAGCAAUCGGUUUGCAGGCCAGCAUCAGUUUUCCGGGAUGGAUAAUGGUAGAGAGAAGGUAGCAGUUUCGGCUGUGUUAUAGCUCUCUGCUGGAUACAUCUUGGGGGACUGAGGAACGCAGUGUGCCUUUGGCGGGGGUUUCGACUCUUCACACUAGGAUGCGGGAAUGG
rnacentral:rRNA from 1 species